UACGAAGGGGGCUAGCGUUGUUCGGAAUUACUGGGCGUAAAGCGCGUGUAGGCGGGUCUUUAAGUCAGGGGUGAAAUGCCAAGGCUCAACCUUGGAACUGCCUUUGAUACUGGAGACCUUGAGUCCGGGAGAGGUGAGUGGAAUUGCGAGUGUAGAGGUGAAAUUCGUAGAGAUCGGGAGGAACACCCGUGGCGAAGGCGGCCAUCUGGACCAGCACUGACGCUGAGGCACGAAAGCGUGGGGAGCAAAAGGG
rnacentral:rRNA from 1 species